rnacentral:misc_RNA from 1 species
GAUGAAGAACGUAGCGAAAUGCGAUAAGUAAUGUGAAUUGCAGAAUUCAGUGAAUCAUCGAAUCUUUGAACGCACAUUGCGCCCGUCAGUAUUCUGGCGGGCAUGCCUGUUCGAGCGUCAUUACGCCCCUCAAGUCCCCUGUGGACUUGGUGUUGGGGAUCGGCGAGGCUGGUUUUCCAGCCCAGCCGUCCCUUAAAUUAAUUGGCGGUCUCGCCGUGGCCCUCCUCUGCGCAGUAGUAAAACACUCGCAACAGGAGCCCGGCGCGGUCCACUGCCGUAAAACCCCCCAACUUUUUAUAGUUGACCUCGAAUCAGGUAGGACUACCCGCUGAACUUAAGCAUAUCAAUAAGCGGAGGA